rnacentral:tRNA from 1 species
GAGGGUAUAGGUCAGUGGUCGAGUGCAUGCUUAGCAUGCAUGAGGUCCUGGGUUCAAUCCCCAGUACCUCCA